GAUUCCUACACAUGACCAGUCUUCAGUAGUGAACAAAAAUGGCAUCUAAAUCCCAAGUGACACUCUUAAGCACUUGGCAGCAGAAGGGCUCUUCUGAGGAAGAUUAAGUUAAUGGAAGCAUUUGGGUAACAUCUGCAUGACUCUUCAUCCUGGUAAGGCCAACUCACACUGCAACAACACGUGAUGGAGGAUUUCUCUGAUUAUCACUUAAGAACAAAACUGGCUGAAGUUUCUUUUCAAGUACUGACCAGGAUGUCAGAGUACCUUUUGUCACAGAGGAUCCAAAAGGGGGAGUAUUAUAUAGGAAUCACUUCCUUCUCCAAAUGUGGGUAGUAUCAGUGACGGAACACAGCAGCUGUUUAACAGUGAUAAUACAUAGCACGUGAGGAUGGGAAAUGAGGAACACCAUAUUCAGUGGACAAUACUAGGGUCUUUAGGUCUAAGAUUGCACCUCCAACGUGGGUUUGAGUUAUGAUGCAUGUGUACCUGUGCAUACAUCCACUAUACUGCUGCUCUUCCCCCCCAGUCUGGUGAGCCCUCUGGAAAUUUACAAGAAUCAUGUAUCCUUGGAAGGACUCUUGCAUAUUCUAAACCUUUCCACUGGCUCAUAUGAUUUGAACUUGCAGAGUGGAGGAAUGACGUUACAUGCAUAUGCAUGUUUAUAUGCAAAUUCCCAGCACAUCCAUGAACUAAAAACAAGCUCAGUACUCAUAGUUUGUUAGUGCAUCACCUAGUUCAACACAUUGUGCUGCUGAUAGAAAAAAACUGCAGUGAAUGUGAUCUAAAAUAGGGUAUAAUCAUACUUACCUAUUUCAUAGCACGAUUGUAGCCUAAUUACACUGGUCUACAGUUUUUGAGAAGUUGUCUGCUUCAGAGAUAAAAUGUGCUAUUUAUUAUGUAUUUUGAUGUGCUGAAUUCAAA